rnacentral:rRNA from 1 species
AGAGUUUGAUCCUGGCUCAGGAUGAACGCUGGCGGCGUGCCUAAUACAUGCAAGUCGAGCGAACGGACGAGAAGCUUGCUUCUCUGAUGUUAGCGGCGGACGGGUGAGUAACACGUGGAUAACCUACCUAUAAGACUGGGAUAACUUCGGGAAACCGGAGCUAAUACCGGAUAAUAUUUUGAACCGCAUGGUUCAAAAGUGAAAGACGGUCUUGCUGUCACUUAUAGAUGGAUCCGCGCUGCAUUAGCUAGUUGGUAAGGUAACGGCUUACCAAGGCAGCGAUGCAUAGCCGACCUGAGAGGGUGAUCGGCCACACUGGAACUGAGACACGGUCCAGACUCCUACGGGAGGCAGCAGUAGGGAAUCUUCCGCAAUGGGCGAAAGCCUGACGGAGCAACGCCGCGUGAGUGAUGAAGGUCUUCGGAUCGUAAAACUCUGUUAUUAGGGAAGAACAUAUGUGUAAGUAACUGUGCACAUCUUGACGGUACCUAAUCAGAAAGCCACGGCUAACUACGUGCCAGCAGCCGCGGUAAUACGUAGGUGGCAAGCGUUAUCCGGAAUUAUUGGGCGUAAAGCGCGCGUAGGCGGUUUUUUAAGUCUGAUGUGAAAGCCCACGGCUCAACCGUGGAGGGUCAUUGGAAACUGGAAAACUUGAGUGCAGAAGAGGAAAGUGGAAUUCCAUGUGUAGCGGUGAAAUGCGCAGAGAUAUGGAGGAACACCAGUGGCGAAGGCGACUUUCUGGUCUGUAACUGACGCUGAUGUGCGAAAGCGUGGGGAUCAAACAGGAUUAGAUACCCUGGUAGUCCACGCCGUAAACGAUGAGUGCUAAGUGUUAGGGGGUUUCCGCCCCUUAGUGCUGCAGCUAACGCAUUAAGCACUCCGCCUGGGGAGUACGACCGCAAGGUUGAAACUCAAAGGAAUUGACGGGGACCCGCACAAGCGGUGGAGCAUGUGGUUUAAUUCGAAGCAACGCGAAGAACCUUACCAAAUCUUGACAUCCUUUGACAACUCUAGAGAUAGAGCCUUCCCCUUCGGGGGACAAAGUGACAGGUGGUGCAUGGUUGUCGUCAGCUCGUGUCGUGAGAUGUUGGGUUAAGUCCCGCAACGAGCGCAACCCUUAAGCUUAGUUGCCAUCAUUAAGUUGGGCACUCUAAGUUGACUGCCGGUGACAAACCGGAGGAAGGUGGGGAUGACGUCAAAUCAUCAUGCCCCUUAUGAUUUGGGCUACACACGUGCUACAAUGGACAAUACAAAGGGCAGCGAAACCGCGAGGUCAAGCAAAUCCCAUAAAGUUGUUCUCAGUUCGGAUUGUAGUCUGCAACUCGACUACAUGAAGCUGGAAUCGCUAGUAAUCGUAGAUCAGCAUGCUACGGUGAAUACGUUCCCGGGUCUUGUACACACCGCCCGUCACACCACGAGAGUUUGUAACACCCGAAGCCGGUGGAGUAACCUUUUAGGAGCUAGCCGUCGAAGGUGGGACAAAUGAUUGGGGUGAAGUCGUAACAAGGUAGCCGUAUCGGAAGGUGCGGCUGGAUCACCU